rnacentral:lncRNA from 1 species
CUUACACACGUGCCUCCCCGGAGUCCAUGCUCCUUUCUCUUUUCCUCGCCAGGAGGACGGGAGAGCGUAGGGAGAGCUCAGCCUCGUGUGGCCAAUACCUGCGCUCCCUGCCAGGCAGCGGCUCACGCCAAUGGGCUGCCUCCUGCCCAGGCCCUGCCCCAGCCUGGGCUCAGCUCCGCUGUGUCUCCAGCAGAGAAGCCGGACAGCUGCACCUACGCAGAUCUGACCUUCCCCAGCGCGGGGGCCGGCAGGAGAGGUCCCCAGCCCGCAGCCCAGAGCCCCCCAGCGCCAGCAGAAGGUCUCUCUGCAGAGGUCACCUAUUCUGAGCUGACGCCAUACAGGGGACCCAGGUGAGCUGUCCAUCCCGGCACCCUCCCUGCCCCGUUCCCUCUGGAGUCACCGCACAAGGCCCUGGAGCCCGGAGCAACCCACCUCAGCGAAGUGACACUCAGCAGCCUUUCCUGGGGCUGUGAGCACAGCUACCCUCCCUCCCUGACAUGUUCUUCUGUACCAGACACAGGCCAGCUACAGCGCUUGCUUCUGCACCAGCUGUGUUCAGCAUCAGGUCCUUUGCUCUGCCAGGGAUCGCUGAG